CAGUCUUGGGGAAGCGAUGAACCACCGCCCGUGGAUGGUCACUGGGGCGUGGGGAGCUAGCAGUGAAACCGACCCAGAAGUGG
rnacentral:ncRNA from 2 species